AAAAUGCGAUACGUAAUGCGAAUUGCAGAAUUCAGUGAAUCAUCAAAUCUUUGAACGCAUCUGGCGCUUAUGGGUAACCCUGUAAGCACACUUUGUUGAGGGUCACUUCACUUCAUCUCGGUCACGUACUUAAUUGUGCGUGGGCGGAAUCAGAACGGUUGACUUCAGUCUACCUGUUUGUUGCACCACUUCAACUCCGAUCUAGUUCUCAACUAGUUCGAUGUCUGAUAAUUGACUUUAAUGUCAUUUUCAUAUCUACAUUGAACUUGGAGCACAUAGGAGAGGAGACCUGUCGUGUUGAAAAAGUAGGAAACAAUUUUUUUUUGACCUCAACUAAAGUGAGAGAACCCGCCGAAUUUAA
rnacentral:misc_RNA from 1 species